ensembl:lncRNA
CAAGACUCGUCCCUUUACCAAUUAACUCAGAUAACGUCUGACAGGAAGAAGUGAACCAAAGGUGAUGCACCCAAACACAUACAGGACUUCUCCCAUUAAGAAACAUUUGCUGCUUUACAUGCACACAGCAGGUGAGCGCUGCUGAACUCUCCCAGAAACAGAGAAACUAAGCCUCCCAGCACACAGCAGUGUGUGUCUGUGCGCGCAGGCCCCCCCUGGUCUGCUGUGAGUUCAUUUCUGCACAGAUGAAAUAAGGUUCCACUCGCAUCCGGAGAAAACAAAACGACCACAAGGCGGCUUAGAGGAAAUAGGGGGCGUCGGGUGACGUGGUGACAGCUGCUCGCUGGGGAAUUCAACCGGCUCUCGCCGCAGAGACGUUUACUCCAACAGCACCGUCCAGUCUGCAGGAGUCGGCCGGUUGCUGUGCCUUGCCAAAGGGCACCACGGUCGUCGGUGGAAACAAAUGAAGAUGUCUCGUGUGUUAUUAUACCUUCAAACAUGCAGAACACUAACAAGCUCCCUGAGGCGG